UCCUCCGCUCGGCUCCGCCCCUUGCCCCGGAAGCACUCCUAGCGGGCGGAGGUUUCUGGGCCUGUUCGCGAGCUGUGCUUCCUUUUUGUCCGACAUCUUAGCGAGACGGCAGCGGUAGCGGCUGCUCUCCAGGCUUCGCUAUGCCGCCCAAGGACGACAAGAAGAAGAAAGAUGCCGGAAAGUCGGCCAAGAAAGACAAAGAUCCGGUGAACAAAUCUGGAGGCAAGGCCAAAAAGAAGAAGUGGUCCAAAGGCAAAGUUCGCGACAAGCUUAAUAACCUAGUCUUGUUUGACAAAGCGACAUAUGACAAACUCUGUAAGGAAGUUCCAAACUAUAAGCUUAUAACCCCAGCCGUCGUCUCUGAAAGACUGAAGAUUCGUGGUUCCCUGGCCAGGGCAGCCCUUCAGGAGCUCCUUAGUAAAGGACUUAUUAAACUGGUUUCAAAGCACAGAGCUCAAGUGAUUUACACCAGGAACACCAAGGGUGGAGAUGCCCCAGCUGCUGGUGAAGAUGCAUGAACAGCCCUGCCCACAUCAUCUGACAAGGCCUGCCCCCUGGUGGGCAGGUAAGGAAAUUCAAGCCGAGCAGAUGAAGCAUGGAGUCCAUGAAUUCUCUUAAGAGCUGGCAGGUGAAAUGCUGGACAUGGGAGAACCAGGAAUCAGUGGAUUUGGAUACUGCUCUGGCUCCUCCGAGGGAAACCAACCUCUAAGACAGACCGAACCACCUCCUGCCGGCUGUGCUCCACCUCACGGAUCUGAGCUGCCAUCUGCGGGAGAGAGGCUGCUUAAAUAGGAAUCCAGACCUUUCACCAUAGACUUCUUGAAUCUAAAAAGAAAAAGGGCAAGUCAGCCCAGAACCCCAAUCCCUGCCAGUUGC